rnacentral:rRNA from 1 species
CCUAUAGGUGGCAGCAGUGAGGAAUAUUGGUCCAUGGGCGCGAGCCUGAACCAGCCAAGUCGCGUGAGGGAAGACGGUCCUAUGGAUUGUAAACCUCUUUUGUCGGGGAGCAAAAGACGCCACGCGUGGCGUUCCGAGAGUACCCGAAGACAAAGCAUCGGCUAACUCCGUGCCAGCAGCCGCGGUAAUACGGAGGAGGCGAGCGUUAUCCGGAUUUAUGUGGUUUAAAGGGUGCGCAGGCGGAAGAGCAAGUCAACGGUAAAAUUGAGAGGCUCAACCUCUUCGAGCCGUGGAAACUGGUUUUCUUGAGUGAGCGAGAAGUAUGCGGAAUGCGGGGUGGAGCGGUGAAAUGCAUAGAUAUCGCGCAGAACCCCGAUUGCGAAGGCAGCGUGCCGUGCCGCCACUGACGCUGAGGCACGAAAGCGCGGGGAUCGAACAGGAUUAGAUACCCCAGUAGUC